UACGAAGGGGGCUAGCGUUGCUCGGAAUCACUGGGCGUAAAGCGCACGUAGGCGGAUUGCUAAGUCAGGGGUGAAAUCCUGGAGCUUAACUCCAGAACUGCCCUUGAUACUGGCGGUCUCGAGUCCGGGAGAGGUGAGUGGAACUGCGAGUGUAGAGGUGAAAUUCGUAGAUAUUCGCAAGAACACCAGUGGCGAAGGCGGCUCACUGGCCCGGUACUGACGCUGAGGUGCGAAAGCGUGGGGAGCAAACAGG
rnacentral:rRNA from 1 species